rnacentral:rRNA from 1 species
UUAAAUUGAAGAGUUUGAUCAUGGCUCAGAUUGAACGCUGGCGGCAGGCCUAACACAUGCAAGUCGAACGGUAACAGGAAGCAGCUUGCUGU